AGUGUUGAGCCCUUGUAACAGAAUCCACAGCUGUCAUUCAGGAGCCGAGCCCGCCUCCAGAGUGACCUUCCUCAGCGGACACGCCCCGUCCACCUGUUCCACAGGUGCGCCCGGCAAGAUGGCGGCGGGGCGAGUUUCUGCGGCGUGAGGUGACAAAAGGAUUCCAUGAACGGGCCUCCAGUUAUGAAAAGGUGUUUUUUCCUGGUAAGUUAUAUUCCUACUUUCCGCUAUACUAUUUAUCUUUGUGUAAGUCUGUUAAGACAAACGUUUUUUCCAACAUUUUAACACCAGAACUGGUUUAUACUGACUAUAUAACUGAUUUUCGUUCCGUUGUGCUUUUGUUAAAUAGAAAGUGGAAACUCUUAAGUCGCUGAUGUUUAAUGGUUCUUUUGUUUAUUGAAUCUAUUGGGUAAAAAUGUAUAAUACUAACAAAUUGUAACAAGUUUUCAAAGCGGGAAGUUAUUGUUAAAUAGAAAGUGGAAACUCUGAAGCGCUGGUUUUUAAAGGGUCUUUUAUUGAUAAAAUCCAUUGAGUAAAAAUGCGUAAUACUAACAAAUUGUAACAAAGCGGGGAGUUAAAACGAAUGUUAUAGAUGCUGUAAGUGGUACUUUCCAAGUUUAUUUAUUCAUUCAUUUAUAAGUAGAAUUGAAUUUCUAUUUGGCUGAGCUUAUUUUCUAAAUAUUGGAGUAGUUUGACUGGGAUGUAUCUGCGAUUUCUAAUGGAAUUACCUAUUGCUUUAUUGAAUUUGAUCGUGUUUGUAUAUUUCUUUAUUUAGGCAGCUUGUUUGAAAAGUUAAUAGAUUUCAGAACGUCAAGU
rnacentral:lncRNA from 1 species